UACGGUUAUAUCACAUUGAAACGCCAGUUCUCCUAUGAUUACCAAAGUUAAGCAGCAUUGAGCCUGGUCAGUACAUAGAUGGGUGACUGCUUGUGAAUACCAGGUACUGUAA